rnacentral:lncRNA from 1 species
CCUAGAUUGGAGGCCUCCUCCUGUGGUCGCCCUCAGGUCCCAAGGCCCCAUCUCAGCACCGAUGGAGGGUUAUUUGAUGUCACUCCUGAGCCGUCUCCCUGCGAGGAAAACACUGGAGACUGGCAUUUAAUGGCAGUUCAGGUCUCUAGCAGAGUUUCCAUUCGCUGCAUAAAGUUUGCCAAAAUCAACAUUUCCCUGUGACAUUAUGAAAAAAAUAAUGCAAGUAGCUUCUGUGAUCUCCUUUGGCUUUAGCCAAAUUACGGUCCUGGGCUGAAUUUUCAGUAGAGAAGACUCUUCUCCUCCCUUACUUUUGCCUCGAGCUUAGAUGCCUGGACUGAAGGCGCUAUUCUCCAAUCAUUUUUGACAGUGUGCCCCAGCCUGGUGUUUUUGAGAGUCACUGCUGCUUGGCAGUCAUCCAAGAACGAGAGAGCAAAAGUGGCAAUUCUUAAAGGAGAAAAAAAUGAUGAUUAUCACAGGUCAGACUGAUUCUUUGAGAGCUUGUUCAGAGAAAGAGCUGUGCUUUCCCUUACCUCCUCCAUACUUCCUUUGCAGCCACUUCUAAAAGGAUUUCUAAGUGAGUUAGAGGAUCAGAAGAGCGUAGGAGAACAACUCUCACUUUUAUGCCUUCGGUGCCCCACGAGGGGAAGGUGUGAUGAGCCUUGAUGGAUUCUGGUUCUCAGGAGCAUUUUGAACAAGUACCCGAGACCCUGGAUUGCAGCUGGAUGAAGCCAUCGCAGGCAAGCACGGUUGCUAGGUUCACAGGAUGGCCAGGAGGAGCAGCCAAACUUCUGUGACUGGAGCAGAAUCAAUACACUGAAUGCAUGAUUUUCAAAAUCUUUCUUGAGGUCUGAGCACCAGAAAUGUGGAAGAGCACCAUCCUGCGGCUAAACACGACUUGUCCCUCUUUAGCCAAGGACCGCACUUUGCACUUUUAAUGACAGUGUCGCCCUGGAAGCUCACACCUGGGGGACCAGCAAAAUCCUCCUCUCCCUCAACUCUUUCACAGCAUCUCUGCUUCCCCGUCAAGGGCACCACCACCACCACCAUGUAAAUACAGCCUGCACUCAGAGCUGGCUUGAGGCUUUCAGCUAACUCGAAUUUAUGGCAUUAGU